AUUUCAGAGCGUUGGCCAUAGCGUUACCCCUGACGUGCGGUCGUUUGGCGGUAUUUGCAGGCAUCCAGAUCCUCAACGUCUUACUGACGAUUAACUGCGACGUUGGCUUCUACGUUUUCGCAACUAUUUACGCCUCAUCUGCGAUAGUUGCAUCGUUCCUGCCAGACGACAGAAAAUUAGUACCUACAGUGGCGCCAUCUGAAGAUAAAGAAUUAACACAGAAAGAAGAAAUGCCACAAAGAUCUAUGACUGAACUUUGAAAAGAACAUAAUUUAAUACUCAUGUGUGUUUUGAUGUGAUGUUUUAAGCUGGGGUCACACUAAUCUCUACGUCACGUUUACGAGUACUCAUAUUUUAUUAAAUAAUUUUUUAAUAGAUUUUUUAUGGAAAAAUGUUGGAAGAUUAAUAUUUGGUCAAAUGUUGUGUCCAUGUUCCAUGUAUUGCUAUACCACCUACGGUAAACUGUAAACUCUUCAAGCUCAUUAAUCUUUAUAAUUAUAAACUGUGCAUUUUCAUUAUUUUUAUUUAAUCCUGCAUAAAUAAAAGGUUUUAAUGCUUCAAAAUUAAGAGAUUAUGUUCCCAAAACAAUAAUAUUUAUAAAAAUAUAUUUAAUAAAUUGUAAAUACUUACCUAUU